AUGUUAAGAAAGAUUACUCCAUUUCGGAGUAUUGCUGCAACAGACGUCGAUGGCGCUAGAGAAGAAGUACUUGAUAUUGUUCAGAAAAACAUUGACCAGAAUAUCAUUUAUUUUGAUGGCUGGAGUGGUUUUGGGGCAGCGGCAGUGCUUAGAUCCAUAGCACAAGCAGUUCCAGCAAUGAAAGCUCCUCCCCCAGAAUUACAGUUUGGUAGAACAAUUUACAUAGAUUGUUCGACCUGGAUAAGCAAAAGGGUGAUGCAGAGAAGAAUUGCAGAGCAGCUAAAACUUGACCGUGCCACCAUGGCCUUGUUUGACAAGCAGGAUGAGGAGGAUGACAUCGAUGGGGUGGACCAAGGCUCCAGGGAUGUGAUAUGGAAGGUUGCUGCAAUAAUUGACCAAACCCUGAGAGAAAGUAGAUUUCUGAUGAUUUUUCUUAAUGGAAGUGACGAGGAGGUUUUCUUAAGCCAGUUUGGUAUUCCAGAAUAUCACUGCAUAAUAAUAUGGGCUUUUAGAAGAUGUCUUUUUACCAUUCAUGACCCCAGCAAGAUACUAGAUAAGUCAAGAUAUGUACGUCUUUUCAUUACCUGCAACUACUGGGCCAUCAAUUUGACAAGUUCACAGAUUUAUGCAGUGUUUCGUGAAGAGACUGAUAGCAUAGUUGCAUGCUACCCAUGUAUGUGGGACAUCGACCCAACAGUGGUUACAGUUUGUUGUCUCUACAGAUUACUAAUGCAGCACAUUUUCCAGAGCAAGACUAUAUUUGCUUGGACUUCAGCUCAUGCUCCCAAGUAUUGGAUGUGUGAUGGCAUCAUUCAAGGGAGUAGAGCAAAGGAGAUAAGUAAUGUGUUGCAGAAAGAAAUAAGUUUUUCUGAGUGUGAUGCCUAUAGACACAAGGUGGUGUGUGACAAAUUCAAGGAAGAUCCGAAGAAUCCUUUAGUGGUGGUUACAGAUGACAAUAUGCCUUUCAGAAAGGGGUCUCCCCGUUGGGUUUCCAUCACCUUGAAAUACAAGAAACUACAGGAGGAUACAAAAACUCUACUGGCAAGGGCAUCAUCCAUCUUCAUACAAUUUCAAGAAACUAAUAGCUCGUCUGGAUUACCAAAUGGCUUGUUUCAAGGUUGCAACAACCUUGCAGUGCUUACUCUGUCUUAUUGUUCCUUCAGUUUUGCAUCACCUCCUUUCCUCCACUGUGAAAAAUUAAGAUUCCUUGGAUUAGACCACUGCACAGAUCUCAAUAAGACUAAGCUUGAAGAACAGAACUGCAUCACCAAUUGGACAUGUCUGCAUAGCCUGUGUGUGCUUGACCUACACUACACAUGUUGGGAAGAGAUUUUAUCGGAGGAAAAGGUGGAUCUUAUGGCCAACAUAUUGGAGCUAAACAUAGAGGGAGUCAGGGGUUGGCAGUACACGAACAAAUUACAGAAAAGGCUGCCUUACCUUCAAAGGCUCCGAAUUAUCAAACCUCCAUGUCAAGCCAACAAGACAUCAAUGGACAUCAACGAGUCAUUUAGAGACAAGACAAAGCUAGAAAUACUUGAUUUUUCUGGUAACAGUGACAUGGAAAACCUACCAACAAGCCUGUCAAUGGCAAGAAAACUUGAGGCGCUUGUUCUUGAUGGUUGUUGUGGGCUAGAAAAUGUUGUGCUGGCUAACUCCUCUCUGAGGUCAUUCAGUUUUGAUGCUUAUGGAGCAGCAUCCCAAUGGACAUCAGCCACUGAGCUACUAGCUCCAGAAAGUUCUCGCCCAAAGUGUUCAUCUGCUAAUGUAGAUAAGAAGGAUGUCAAAACCUCCAAGAUAUCCCUGGAAGGGUGCGCACAGUUGGAAAAUUUGUUUUUGCGUGAGCUACCCAAUCUAGUGGAGCUAGACCUUUCAGGAUGUGUAAUCAAGGUAUUUGACUUCAAAACUAUGGUGGUGGAUGUUCCAAAUCUCAAAAGACUCUUUCUAUUGGGUUGUGAGCACCUUUGUUCAAUAAGGUGGGGCUCAUUUGCAGAUGUGCAAGCACAGAAGCUGGAGUUGCUCUGUAUAGACACACGGCCAUGUCUUGGGAAGGUACUUCGGCCAUCAAUUGUGCAGCAUAAAUUCCGGUUGCAAGUCCAUGCUAUUAUUGCGGAUGCUAGGUUUGCUCGGUCAUUGGCAUCUCUGAUACUUGGUACACUGCCAAUGGCCGGUGCUUACUGUUUUAAUAUCAGCAUCACCUCUCCAAGUGUCUCUGCGGGGGUUGCUCAACCUGAAGAACCCAACAGUGGAAAUAUUGUUGUAGCGGCAGCGGCACCCUAUGGUGAUAUCUGCAAUGAGGUUGGCCCGGUGUGGGACUUCCCACAGCCUCCAACAUCACAGUUGGACCGUCAUAUUGAGAUUGGUGAUGGGAGCUGUGGUGUGGAGAGUGAAUUGCAAUUGCAUAGAUAUUAUUCGUUACCUUCUGUGAUGAGAGAGUUUGCCCAGUCCUUGCAUGUGCAUGAUUCUUCUAUUAGAGGCCAUGCCAUGCCUGCAGGUUCUAUGGAGCGCCUUAGGUGGUGCCGAGUGGAGAGGUGCCCCAACUUGGACACUGUCUUUCCUCGUGGUGGAUAUGCCUAUGAAAUGGUAGGUUGCCCUUAUCUGGAGAUCAUCUGGGCAUCACAUCUCUUGAUGGGCCGUUGCAUUUGGAUGAAAGGCUCCAGCUAUGGUUACGACUUCACAAGUCUGCAACAUCUGCACCUUCAUUCAUGCCCAAGCCUGGAGUACGCGCUUCCAGUAUGCAAGGGUAGCUCCUUCCCCAGCUUGAAGACCCUCUACAUCAUCCGCUGCGGCGGCCUCGUGCACGUAUUUGUGCAAACCAGCAAGGAGCAUCCUCCUAGCAGCAGCGUCGAGUUCCCGAAGCUGACCACGAUCCACCUGCACGACCUGCCGUCGCUGCAGCAGGUAUGCGAGGCCGCCGAGACACAGGCGCCCGCACUGGAGAGCACAAGGAUCAGGGGAUGCUGGAGCUUGUGCCGGCUGCCGGCCUUGAUGGGCCGCGAGCCAGGCAUGAGGAGGCCGGCGGUGGAGAUAGAGAAGGACGUGUGGGACGCUCUGGAGUGGGGCGGCGUGGACUCGGGGCACCACCCUUCCCUCUACGAGGCGCCCGUGCAGUCGCGGCACUACAAGAGGCCCAUGCCCAGGGGCACCGUUCUCAGGUGA
rnacentral:rRNA from 1 species